GAUGAACGCUGGCGGCGUGCCUAAUACAUGCAAGUCGAGCGAACGGACGAGAAGCUUGCUUCUCUGAUGUUAGCGGCGGACGGGUGAGUAACACGUGGAUAACCUACCUAUAAGACUGGGAUAACUUCGGGAAACCGGAGCUAAUACCGGAUGAUAUUUUGAACCGCAUGGUUCAAAAGUGAAAGACGGUCUUGCUGUCACUUAUAGAUGGAUCCGCGCUGCAUUAGCUAGUUGGUAAGGUAACGGCUUACCAAGGCAACGUUGCAUAGCCGACCUGAGAGAGUGAUCGGCCACACUGGAACUGAGACACGGUCCAGACUCCUACGGGAGGCAGCAGUAGGGAAUCUUCCGCAAUGGGCGAAAGCCUGACGGAGCAACGCCGCGUGAGUGAUGAAGGUCUUCGGAUCGUAAAACUCUGUUAUUAGGGAAGAACAUAUGUGUAAGUAACUGUGCACAUCUUGACGGUACCUAAUCAGAAAGCCACGGCUAACUACGUG
rnacentral:rRNA from 1 species